rnacentral:rRNA from 1 species
AACGAACGCUGGCGGCAUGCCUAACACAUGCAAGUCGAACGAGACCUUCGGGUCUAGUGGCGCACGGGUGCGUAACGCGUGGGAACCUGCCCUUAGGUUCGGAAUAACUCCCCGAAAGGGGUGCUAAUACCGGAUAAUGUCUUCGGACCAAAGAUUUAUCGCCUUUGGAUGGGCCCGCGUUGGAUUAGCUAGUUGGUAGGGUAAAAGCCUACCAAGGCGACGAUCCAUAGCUGGUCUGAGAGGAUGAUCAGCCACACUGGGACUGAGACACGGCCCAGACUCCUACGGGAGGUAGCAGUGGGGAAUAUUGGACAAUGGGCGAAAGCCUGAUCCAGCAAUGCCGCGUGAGUGAAGAAGGCCUUAGGGUUGUAAAGCUCUUUUACCCGGGAUGAUAAUGACAGUACCGGGAGAAUAAGCUCCGGCUAACUCCGUG